rnacentral:lncRNA from 1 species
UCCUUUCUCCUUGAUGCUUGUGUCCUUUUAUAGGCUUUUCACCUCCAAGGAUCUUGAGAGAAUAUUGUAGUUUAUAUUUUGUUAACCGUUUCCAAGUUUCUAUCUUUCCAUAAUUCUUGUAUUUUGCAGAAGAUUUGCUUCCAAUUCUGUUUCUGAGAUAUUGUAGAUUUUAUUUUCUCUUUCUUCUCCUCAGAAUUUGUUUCCUGUUUUGGUUCAAGAAGCAACUUGGACUUUUGCAUAUUUGGCCCAUUCACAAAGGUAGAUGCUUCCUCUGGAUAAUUUACUCUAAAAAUACAAAAUUAACAAUAAUAAUAGUUAAGGCCCAAAUAAACCCAAUUAUAAGAAUAUUAAUUAAAACAAUGGAUUUAUUUAUUAUUAUAGUCCAAUAAUCUAUGAAUAAGGCUAGUGAGUGUGAAUAAAUAUAUGCUCAUCACUAUUCAAGAACUUCUCUAAUUUCUCUACUACAAUAUUUCACGAAAGGAUUAGAUUUGGUGAGGUCGAGUAUUACACACUUUGCUACAUCUUACUUAACAUUAGGGUGCCUUCAUGUGAAUAAGGAAGCUUUAAUUGAAAUGCUUACUAGUAUUGAAUGGAAGUCUAGCAGGUUUGUUAAAACAAAUAAUGGUAAAAUAAUUACAAAUAUGGUUUUAGGUAAGGAUUUUUUUUUAAGAAUAUGGGUGCAUUACCUCUAAUUGAAGUGCUUUAAUUGGUUAAUUUGGUCAAAAGCCAGUCACGGGGUUCCUUAUGAAACAAUAGACAACCCUAAAGAGAAGAUACAAAAGGCUUUCAUUUCUAUAAAAAAAAGUUAUUCAAUCUAACUAUCUAUAUAUUUGUCUAUUAAUAUAUUUUGGUUAGUCAUUUGUCUUUGUGGAAAAUCAUUGAGGAAAGGUGGAAAACUAACUCUAUAGGUCUUUGCAUGCUACAAGAUAUUUUCUUAACCCUUGCAUUAUCGACUCAAAUUUAAAAAGAUUUGAGAGUGAAACAAUGUUUAAUGAAAUAUAAUAAUUAGGAUUGUUGGGGAUGAGGAUGAACAAACUUUCAUUGAUGUUAAAAAAAUUAGCUAAAUAUUUUUGGUUGUCCAUUGACUACUAGGUCAAUUAUUUUAAUGACUCCAGCAAAUUAGUGGGAGUCUUAUGUUGAUGAGUUCCCUAAACUUUCAUGUAUUAAGCUUGACAUGUAGCUCCUCUGAAUGUGAGCGUAACUCAUGUUCCUUUGAGAUGAUAAGUUAAUGUUAAAAUAUAUCUUUAUAAAAAAAAUUACUAGUCCACUACUUUCUUAUCAUAUUUGUCUUCGCAUUUGUUUAAGUUCACACAAAGAGAAUAAAUAGGCUUAAACAAAGCACAAUGAAUUAUGUUGUUUUUGUUAUGGCUAAUUCAAAAUUAGCUAAGAAGCAAACAAGAAAACCAACUCAAAUUAAUAAGACGAUUAUUCAUCCAACGAAGAGGGGAUUACAAAAGACGAGCAUUAGCAAAAUGAACAAUUGGAUUUUGAUGAAAAAUUUGGUUCGAGUCAAAGUUGAGGAGGAUGAAACUUUACAUCAUCAUGAUUUAGGCAUGUAUGGAUAAAGGAAAUGUAAAUGAUGGAGUUGAAGGUCUCUUUGCAGAUUAUGAAUUUAACUUAUGGUUUCGGAUAGAUUAUUAUUUUACUACUGUUUUAUAACUAUGAAGGAGUUACUCCUAUGUAACUAGAAAUUACAACUAAUGAUGUAUUAUUUUAUAUAUUAUGAAAUUCAAUUUUGAAUUUUGAGUAAGAUGUAUUGAUUUUCUGUGUGAAUGUAUAAAUUUCAUAAAAUUUGUAGGAUCUUAUGAUCCAUAUUACAAUCUCCCAAUUCCUUUCUUGAACUUGAGUAAGAUCUCAAUUUUGACUACCAUGCUAACUAGUAUUGCAAAAGAAUUAUCACACUUACACUUGCAACAAUUAGCUACAUAGAACACCCAUAUUCACAUAAUAAACUAAAUGUUUUGUAUGGACAAUGAUUUAUAUGCUAUAGUACAUUGUUAGUGGCAACUCUUAGUAAAAGAAAAUACCAGAUGGCUAAAGGAAGAUCUGGAAACAAAGUUAGUAUGAGAAAACCAAAAGUAUGUGUUGGAGAUUCCACAUCGAUUAGAGAUAAAGACAUUUCAUAGUAUAUAAGUGGGUGCAAACCUCACAUUAUAAACCAGUUUUAUGAGUUUGAGUUAGGCUUAAAAUUCACUUCUCAAUAUGGUAUCAGAGUCCUUUCGAGUCUAUCCUAGGAAGAGUUUGUUGGACUUAUUAGGUCACCUGCUAUCAGGCUACUAUCGGACCACCCAUAAUAUAUAGUCUCACGCACGAGUUGGCAGUCUCGGUGUGAGGGGGUGUGUUGGAGAUCCCACAUCGACUAAAGAUAAGGACAUUUCAUAGUAUAUAAGUGGGUGAAAACUUUACUUUAAAAGUCAAUUUUAUGAGUUUGACUUAAACUUAAAGUUCACUUAUUAAUAGUAUGCAAAAGCAAACUUAACAAAUAACUAUAAAAAGAGUACUCGUGCACCUUUUGAAUGGAGUUAACAGAUAAGAUAUUACUUGGGACAUCCACUUUAAUUAAUUCUAAUUGUGAUGAGACCAAUGAAGUGCAUGAAAUCAAUGGAUCUUCUAGCAAUGAAGUUACUAAUUGAGGGAACUAAUGCUACUGUUACAUGGUAGAUUAAGUGAGCGUAAAACAUUAUGAAUGUUUUGAAGGGAUUCAGAGAUUAGGAAUUAUAAAUUUGUAGUACAAAUUUUUUACUUUGCCCUCUGGUCUCUUACUUGUGCAUAUUUAUACAUUCCAUAUUUAAUAUAAUUUUUUUCUUGUUGAUAAAAAAUGGAUAAAUUCUUAAAUGACUUAUUUGCUAUAUGUUAUAUAAGUUGUCUAGAAUAUAAAAAAAAAAACUUGUUGAAUAGUAUGUCAAAAUAAAAAUUAGUUAGCAACAGAGUAAAACCUAUAAGAGAAGAAAAUAGAAGUGAAUGAAAGAUGUGUUUUUAAAGAAGAGUAACCACAUAUAUUUAAAGGAAAAAAAAAACUUAACUUACCCGAUCAUAUGUUCCCACAAGGUUACACAUCCAAUUGUGAGAUGUGAAUAGCAAUGAUUCCAUCCCAUAACAUCCAAUUCUGAAAAAUCAAAGAAACUAAAUGAGAUUUAAAUGAUUUAUAAUAAUCAAAGACAAAUAAAUUAAUAAGUAAAAAAAAAAUCUAAAACCUUUGUUACAUUAUCCAUAGCAAAUUCAACUUAAACAUGAAAACAAAAAAAUCUAAAUAAAGCUUAUAAUUGAAUGCCU